GACGAACGCUGGCGGCGUGCCUAAUACAUGCAAGUCGAGCGGUGAAGCUUUGUGCUUGCACCAAUUUGGAGAGCAGCGAACGGGUGAGUAACGCGUGGGGAAGCUUCUUUUGUGCGGGGGACAACAUCUGGAAACGAAUGCUAAUACUACAUAACAACUUUAAACAUAAGAUUUAAGUUUUAAAGAUGCAAUUGCAUCGCUCAAAGAUGAUCGCGAGUUUUAUUAGCUGGUUGGUGAGGGAAAGGCCCAGCAAGGCGGUGAUACAUAGCCUACCUGAGGGGGUGAUCGGCCACCAUGGGAACUGGACACCGCCCAAACUUCUUACGGAGGGAGCAGUAGGGAAUCUUCGGCCAUGGACGGCAGUCUGACCGCGGAAAGCCGGGGGAGUGAAGAAGGUCUUCGGAUCGUAAAAGUCUGUUUGUAGAGAAAGAAGUUGGUGAGAGUGGAAAGCUCAUGAAGUGACGGUAACUAAACAGAAAGGGACGGCUAACUACGUG
rnacentral:rRNA from 1 species